rnacentral:rRNA from 1 species
GACGAACGCUGGCGGCGUGCUUAACACAUGCAAGUCGAACGGAAAGGCCCUGCUUUUGUGGGGUGCUCGAGUGGCGAACGGGUGAGUAACACGUGAGUAACCUGCCCUUGACUUUGGGAUAACUUCAGGAAACUGGGGCUAAUACCGGAUAGGAGCUCCUGCUGCAUGGUGGGGGUUGGAAAGUUUCGGCGGUUGGGGAUGGACUCGCGGCUUAUCAGCUUGUUGGUGGGGUAGUGGCUUACCAAGGCUUUGACGGGUAGCCGGCCUGAGAGGGUGACCGGGCACAUUGGGACUGAGAGAGGGCCCAGACUCCUACGGGAGGCAGAAGUGGGGAAUAUGGCACAAUGGGCGGAAGCCUGAUGCAGAAGCGCCGCGUGCGGGAUGACGGCUUUCGGGUGGUAAACAGCUUUCGCCGGUGACGAAGCGUGAGUGACGGUAAUGGGUAAAGAAGCACCGGCUAACUACGUG